AGUAACGCGUGAGGAACCUGCCUCAAAGAGGGGGACAACAGUUGGAAACGACUGCCAAUACCGCAUAAGCCCACGGCUCGGCAUCGAGCAGAGGGAAAAGGAGCAAUCCGCUUUGAGAUGGCCUCGCGUCCGAUUAGCUAGUUGGUGAGGUAAUGGCCCACCAAGGCGACGAUCGGUAGCCGGACUGAGAGGUUGAACGGCCACAUUGGGACUGAGACACGGCCCAG
rnacentral:rRNA from 1 species